rnacentral:lncRNA from 1 species
AGAGAGAAGGUUAAGAGCAACAAGAUGGGAGGCAGCUGCAUGGAACCUGUCCCACUGAGGAAGUAAAACAGGAAUCCAAAAUAAAACGUUUGCUGGGAAUUAUAAAGAAUUUCAUUGAGAAAGUAAAAAAGAAAAAUCUAUGCAAAGGAAGUGAUUCUGUUGUUUAAUGCCAUCACCUGUCAUUCUGUCUCUUACCAUGGCUGGCUUGGCUAGUGGCACCACGAACAGAUCCCUACAGACCCCAACACCAAGAAAACCCUACCUGAUGGACUGGACUUCUGCCUGGAUUGGAGUUUGAUCAUGCCUCCAUAUGGGUGUUUACCAGGCGUAUGCAUUGAACCUGAGUUUGUCUCUUCAAUACAAGGAAAAUCUCUGCCGCUUAGUGAUUUUCCAAGAAACAUGAGCUUCUGCCUUUCAAUGAGGAAGAUACUCAGAAGUCAUGUUCGAGCACUCCGGAAAAUGUCCUUGGAGUUUCAACAUUUCUUUGGUCUUCCACAUUUCAUUUUGUCCUGAUUAAAGAGGAAGCCAGUUGCUGUUUGUGCAAGAUGCCGUGCUGGAACCUGCCCUGUGGAGAGGCAUACAUGGUGAAAAACCAGGGAAGGCCUCUGAGCAACAGCUCUUGAGAAACUAAAGCCCUAAACCCAUCAACUUGCAAAGAACUGCAUCCUGCCACCAACUGCGUGAGUGAGGUCAGGUGGAUCUUUCCCUGGUCCAGCCUUGAGAUGACUGCAGUCCCAGACAACACCUUGACUGCUGCCUUGUGAUGCAGCUGGCGCCAAGCAGUGCCAAUUCCUGGCCCUCAAAAACCAUGAGAUAAUAGUGCUGUUGUUGUAAGUCACCCAAGUUUGGGGUAAUUUGUUAUCUAGCAGUAGAUAGCCAAUACAUCAAACUAGAAACAUUCUCCAUCAUUGAUUGGAAGACUUUGGGUUUUUAAAAAGGGUAAACACACAUAUACACAGCUUAUUAUAUUUCCUUCCACAUUUAUUUUGGAGGGGAAAUGUUUUACUUCUUAUCCCACCGCUUUGCCCUUUCUAAAAGAAUGUGUUAGGAUUACUGUGAUUCAAAUGGUAAAAAUUUUCCCAGUGAAAUAAAGACUUUAUACCAACUGGAUUUCUUGCUUAGAAAGCUGUGUUUUCUCCACUAAUAUCUUGAAUUUGAUAUUUUCAACUAUCUCUAUUGAAUUCACUUGUAAAUGAAUUGCGUUUUUCCCUCUAUUAUGAACUGAAUGUUUGUAUCUCUUCAAAAUUCAUAUGUUGAGGCUGUAAUUCCCAG